rnacentral:snRNA from 1 species
AGCUUUGCGCAGUGGCAGUAUUGUAGCCAAUGAGGUUUAUCCGAGGCACGAUUAUUGCUAAUUGAAAGUGUAAGUCAUGAAAUUUC